rnacentral:lncRNA from 1 species
CCGAACCGCCCGAGAGCCGCGAUUGCAGCUUCCCGACAACUUCGAGCACCGACUCCGCCAUGUUUACUGCUGGCGCAGGGGGGGGGCUCUUCACGGCGGAAGUGGCGGCGGCUUCGCCUCCUACCCAGGAGGCCGCGCGGCUUCUCGCUCCGCUCAGUCGCUGGCGGACGGCUUCGCCGCCAUCUUUGUUCCGGGCCGGGGAAAGGGAGGGGGAGAAAAUUCCAUAGGUGGAAAUGGCAGCGCGACUCGCUCUUUUUCGGGGAUUGCGCCGCCAUGUUUGAAGCUGGCAAAGGCUUCACGGGUGAGGGAGGAGGAGCUGUUGUCUUCGAGUCCAUUCCAGAGUUGCCUCUUUGAUCAGACAGAAUCAGGCAGCCACCUCAGCCAAGCUGAUAAGGACCGUCAGGAAGGCAGAAAGCCAUUUAUAUACGUAUAUAUUUACUGCCAUGAACAGGAGGUGAUUGUUGCAGGAUGUUCUACCAAAAUGUUUUUGGGUACUACAAACGUCUGUAGCUACGAAGGAACGAGAGAAGAUCUUCAAGAGUAAUGUUGCAUCACCAGAGACCCAGACCAAAAACUAUCUGUACUAUGAUAUCCCUCAGUACUAUAUAUGGAUGUGAAAGGUGGAUUGUGAAAAUACGCAGUUUGUUUCAAGCGUGCUGUUCACUGAGACGCUUGCAUUUUGAGAGUAUGAUAAGAUAAGGCUCCCUGAAAAAGCUGCAGUAGGAAAAGCAGAAGACUGGACCUGAGAUUGAUUGAUUCAGUGAAAGAAGUUGCAGCAUUGAGUUUGCAAGAUCUGAACAAUGUUCAUGACAAUGCCUUCUAGGUAGCCUUGUUUGUUUAAAGUAUUUUUAUCUUGCCUUUCUCCUUAAAAAGAACCCAAGGCGGCUUCCAUCGUUCAAAACACAAUAUUUAAAAGCUAAAAAUGGUAGGCAUACAAAUAUUCAAAAAGAAUUAAACAGGUAUACAUUCAAAACAAUGUGGACAUGUUGGUGCUGUGGGUUAAACCGCAGAAGCCUCUGUGCCGCGAGGUCAGAAGACUAGCUGUCGUAAGAUCGAAUCCAUGCGCCGGAGUGAGCUCCUGUCGCUUGUCCCAGCUCCUGCCAACCCAGCAGUUCGAAAGCAUGUAAAAAUGCAAAUAGAUAAAUAGGAACCACCUCGGUGGGAAGGUCACGGCUAGUCGCGCUGGCCACGUGGCCACGGAAACGGUCUAUGGACAAACGCUGGCUCCAUGGGUUCGAAACGGGGAUAAGCACCACGCCCUAGAGCCGGACAUGACUGCGAAACGGGGAUAAGCACCGUGCCCUAGUGCCGGACACGGGGAACCUUUGCCUUUACCACAUUCAAAAUAGUAAUAAAGAGCACAACAAUCCAUUCA